GGGUUGUGAGGUUAAGCGAAUAAGCGUACACGGUGGAUGCCUAGGCAAUCAGAGGCGAUGAAGGACGUGCUAAUCUGCGAAAAGCGUCGGUAAGGUGAUAUGAACCGUUAUACCCGACGAUAUCCGAAUGGGGAAACCCAGUAUCCAAUGGAUACUAUCAUUAACUGAAUCCAUAGGUUAAUGAGGCGAACCGGGAGAACUGAAACAUCUCAGUACCCCGAGGAAAAGAAAUCAACCGAGAUUCCCCUAGUAGCGGCGAGCGAACGGGGAGCAGCCCAGAGUCUUAAUCAAUAGCAGUGUCAGGAGAACGGUCUGGAAAGUCCGGCAGUAAAGGGUGAUAGCCCCGUAUCUGAAGAUGCUGUUAUUGUGAACUCGACGAGUAGGGCGGGACACGUGUUAUCCUGUCUGAAUAUGGGGGGACCAUCCUCCAAGGCUAAAUACUCCUGAUUGACCGAUAGUGAACCAGUACCGUGAGGGAAAGGCGAAAAGAACCCCGGCGAGGGGAGUGAAAAAGAACCUGAAACCGUGUACGUACAAGCAGUAGGAGCCCCAUCACUCAAGUGCCUCGCACUGAGUGAUGCAAGAACAUCACCGAAAAUAGCGCCGAAUUUGCUAACAAGGUUGGUCGAUUUUUUCAAGCCGUCGCGCAGUGUACCUAGAAGUACACGAGCAACGGAAGUUAAAAAAUCGGGCAAGAUUGAACGCAAAGGCAAGCGGGACAUUUGAGGAUGGGGUGACUGCGUACCUUUUGUAUAAUGGGUCAGCGACUUAUAUUCUGUAGCAAGGUUAACCGUAUAGGGGAGCCGUAGGGAAACCGAGUCUUAACUGGGCGAAUGAGUUGCAGGGUAUAGACCCGAAACCCGGUGAUCUAUCCAUGGGCAGGUUGAAGGUUGGGUAACACUAACUGGAGGACCGAACCGACUAAUGUUGAAAAAUUAGCGGAUGACUUGUGGAUGGGGGUGAAAGGCCAAUCAAACCGGGAGAUAGCUGGUUCUCCCCGAAAGCUAUUUAGGUAGCGCCUCGUGAACUCAUCUUCGGGGGUAGAGCACUGUUUCGACUAGGGGGUCAUCCCGACUUACCAACUCGAUGCAAACUGCGAAUACCGAAGAAUGUUAUCACGGGAGACACACGGCGGGUGCUAACGUCCGUCGUGAAGAGGGAAACAACCCAGACCGCCAGCUAAGGUCCCAAAGUCAUGGUUAAGUGGGAAACGAAGUGGGAAGGCUCAGACAGCCAGGAUGUUGGCUUAGAAGCAGCCAUCAUUUAAAGAAAGCGUAAUAGCUCACUGGUCGAGUCGGCCCGCGCGGAAGAUGUAACGGGGCUAAACCAUGCACCGAAGCUGCGGCAGCGACACGUAGUGUUGUUGGGUAGGGGAGCGUUCUGUAAGCCUGCGAAGGUGUACUGUGAGGUAUGCUGGAGGUAUCAGAAGUGCGAAUGCUGACAUAAGUAACGAUAAUGCGGGUGAAAAACCCGCACGCCGGAAGACCAAGGGUUCCUGUCCAACGUUAAUCGGGGCAGGGUGAGUCGACCCCUAAGGCGAGGCUGAAAAGCGUAGUCGAUGGGAAACGGGUUAAUAUUCCCGUACUGGUGGUAACUGCGAUGGGGGAACGGAGAAGGCUAGGUUGUCCGGGCGACGGUCGUCCCGGUUCAAGCAGGUAGGCAGAGUGAUUAGGCAAAUCCGGUCACUUAAUGCUGAGAUGUGAUGACGAACCACCAAGGUGGUGAAGCAAUUGAUGCCCCGCUUCCAGGAAAAGCCUCUAAGCUUCAGGUUACCAACAAUCGUACCCCAAACCGACACAGGUGGUCAGGUAGAGAAUACUCAGGCGCUUGAGAGAACUCGGGUGAAGGAACUAGGCAAAAUGGUGCCGUAACUUCGGGAGAAGGCACGCUGGCGGUAGGUAAAGUCCCUCGCGGACGGCGCUGAAGCCAGUCGAAGAUACCAGCUGGCUGCAACUGUUUAUUAAAAACACAGCACUGUGCAAACACGAAAGUGGACGUAUACGGUGUGACGCCUGCCCGGUGCUGGAAGGUUAAUUGAUGGGGUUAGCCGUAAGGCGAAGCUCCUGAUCGAAGCCCCAGUAAACGGCGGCCGUAACUAUAACGGUCCUAAGGUAGCGAAAUUCCUUGUCGGGUAAGUUCCGACCUGCACGAAUGGCGUAAUGAUGGCCAGGCUGUCUCCACCCGAGACUCAGUGAAAUUGAACUCGCUGUGAAGAUGCAGUGUACCCGCGGCAAGACGGAAAGACCCCGUGAACCUUUACUAUAGCUUGACACUGAACAUUGAGCCUUGAUGUGUAGGAUAGGUGGGAGGCUUUGAAGUGUGGACGCCAGUCUGCAUGGAGCCAACCUUGAAAUACCACCCUUUAACGUUUGAUGUUCUAACCUAGGCCCAUAAACUGGGUCGGGGACCGUGUCUGGUGGGUAGUUUGACUGGGGCGGUCUCCUCCUAAAGAGUAACGGAGGAGCACGAAGGUUGGCUAAGCAUGGUCGGACAUCAUGCGGUUAGUGCAAAGGCAUAAGCCAGCUUGACUGCGAGAGUGACGGCUCGAGCAGGUACGAAAGUAGGUCUUAGUGAUCCGGUGGUUCUGAAUGGAAGGGCCAUCGCUCAACGGAUAAAAGGUACUCCGGGGAUAACAGGCUGAUACCGCCCAAGAGUUCAUAUCGACGGCGGUGUUUGGCACCUCGAUGUCGGCUCAUCACAUCCUGGGGCUGAAGUAGGUCCCAAGGGUAUGGCUGUUCGCCAUUUAAAGUGGUACGCGAGCUGGGUUUAGAACGUCGUGAGACAGUUCGGUCCCUAUCUGCCGUGGGCGUUGGAAGAUUGAGAGGGGUUGCUCCUAGUACGAGAGGACCGGAGUGAACGCACCACUGGUGUUCGGGUUGUCAUGCCAAUGGCAUUGCCCGGUAGCUAAGUGCGGAAGAGAUAACCGCUGAAAGCAUCUAAGCGGGAAACUUGCCUCGAGAUGAGUCUUCCCUGUCACUUUAAGUGACCUAAAGGAACGUUUAAGACUAAGACGUUGAUAGGCUGGGUGUGUAAGCGUAGCGAUACGUUGAGCUAACCAGUACUAAUGAACCGUGAGGCUUAACCUGACAACACCGAAAGUGUUUUG
rnacentral:rRNA from 1 species